rnacentral:rRNA from 1 species
AUGCUUGAGUCCAUUGGACAGUUUGGCAAGGACUUGAUAGGGCCUAGUCCAUAUGAGAUGAGUGGACCAUUUUUGCAGAAGAGGAAACAGAAGGUGCUGGAUGGAUUCAAGAAUCAUAAGGAAUCAUGGGAGCUCACAGGUUGCACGGUUAUGACUGAUGCAUGGACAGAUAAGAAGGGCAGGGGAGUUAUGAAUUUAGUUGUGCACAGUGCUCAUGGUGUUUGCUUCAUUGAUUCGGUGGACUGCUCCGGUGACAGAAAAGAUGGCAAAUACAUAUUUGACUUGGUGGACAAAUGCAUAGAAGAAAUAGGUGAAGAAAAUGUUGUGCAAGUGGUGACUGAUAAUGCUAGUGUGAAUGUAUCAGCAGCUAGUAUGCUAACAGCAAAGAGACCAUCCAUAUUUUGGAAUGGAUGUGCUGCUCACUGCCUAGAUCUCAUGCUGGAGGAUCUUGGGAAGCUUGGACCAGUUGCAAAAACUAUUUCAAGUGCAAGAGAAGUGACUAGCUUCUUGUAUGCUCAUACAAGGGUACUGGAUUUGAUGCAGAAAUUUCUUGGGGAGGACUUGGUUCGCUCUGGUGUUACUCGGUUUGCCACUGCUUACUUAAAUCUGAAAAGUUUGCUAGACAACAAGAAGGAGUUGACAAGGCUCUUCAGAUCAGAUGAGAUGAAUGAACUAGGUUCAUACUUGACAAAGGCAAAGGGGAAAAAAGCACUCAAAGUGGUGCGAUCUGAAGUUUUUUGGAAACAUGUUGACAUGGCUGUUAAUUUCUUCGAGCCAAUGGCUAAUGUGCUUCGCAGAAUGGACAGUGAUGUUCCUGCAAUGGGAUUCUUCCAUGGAUUAAUGCUUGAUGCAAAGAAACAUAUUGCUGUGAGGUUUGAUAAUGAUGAGAGCAAGUACAAAGUUGCUUGGGACAUCAUUGAUAAAAGGUGGGACAGCAAGCUCAAGACUCCUCUCCACUUGGGUGGCUACUAUUUGAAUCCUCACUAUUAUUACCCAAACAAGUCAGAGAUUGAGCAUGAUGGAUCAUUUAGAGCUGCUGUUAUUACAUGCAUUUGCAAGAUGAUUGAGGACGAAGAAACCCAAGACACUGUAAUUGAAGAACUCAACAUGUAUCAAGAUCAGCAAGGAUCUUUCGGCCAUGAGAUUGCUAUAAGGCAAAGGAGAAACAAGAAUUUUAAUCUAGGUUAG